rnacentral:tRNA from 1 species
GCGGAUGUGGCGAAAUUGGUAGACGCACCAGAUUUAGGUUCUGGCGGGAAACCGUGGGGGUUCGACUCCCUCCAUCCGCA